UCCAUCGCGAGGUGGAAUCUGAAGGAAGCCGCAGGCAAAGCGCUGACUCGACGAACAGAAAUCGCAUAUGAGGCAUGCAGUCUGGAUGAGAGGGCAAAUGUCUUUAAAGUCCAAUACCUGUACGGCAAGAUUGUAUGUAAAUGCGGCGAGUAUAAGCGUGAAAGUGAGAGCG
rfam:Environmental sequence XZS49182.b1, whole genome shotgun sequence.